AGUGAACGCUGGCGGUAGGCCUAACACAUGCCAGUCGAACGGCAGCACAGUAAGCGCUUGCUCUUACGGGUGGCGAGUGGCGGACGGGUGAGGCAUACAUCGGAAUCUACUUUUUCGUGGGGGAUAACGUAGGGAAACUUACGCUAAUACCGCAUACGACCUACGGGUGAAAGCAGGGGAUCUUCGGACCUUGCGCGAUUGAAUGAGCCGAUGUCGGAUUAGCUAGUUGGCGGGGUAAAGGCCCACCAAGGCGACGAUCCGUAGCUGGUCUGAGAGGAUGAUCAGCCACACUGGAACUGAGACACGGUCCAGACUCCUACGGGAGGCAGCAGUGGGGAAUAUUGGACAAUGGGCGCAAGCCUGAUCCAGCCAUACCGCGUGGGUGAAGAAGGCCUUCGGGUUGUAAAGCCCUUUUGUUGGGAAAGAAAAGCAGCAGGUGAAUACCCCGCUGUCCUGACGGUACCCAAAGAAUAAGCACCGGCUAACUUCGUG
rnacentral:rRNA from 1 species